AUCCAGCUGACGAGUCCGAAAUAGGGCGAAACGCGCUUUCUGAAU
rnacentral:hammerhead_ribozyme from 1 species